CACAAGCGGUGGAUGAUGUGGAUUAAUUCGAUGCAACGCGAAAACCUUACCUACCCUUGACAUGUCCGGAAUCCGAAGAGAUUUGGGAGUGCUCGCAAGAGAACCGGAACACAGGUGCUGCAUGGCUGUCGUCAGCUCGUGUCGUGAGAUGUUGGGUUAAGUCCCGCAACGAGCGCAACCCUUGUCAUUAGUUGCCAUCAUUUGGUUGGGCACUCUAAUGAGACUGCCGGUGACAAACCGGAGGAAGGUGGGGAUGACGUCAAGUCCUCAUGGCCCUUAUAGGUGAGGCUACACACGUCAUACAAUGGCUGGUACAAAGGGUUGCCAACCCGCGAGGGGGAGCCAAUCCCAUAAAGCCAGUCGUAGUCCGGAUCGCAGUCUGCAACUCGACUGCGUGAAGUCGGAAUCGCUAGUAAUCGUGGAUCAGCAUGUCACGGUGAAUACGUUCCCGGGUCUU
rnacentral:rRNA from 1 species